rnacentral:rRNA from 1 species
AUUGUAGGCUGAAACUCGCCUACAUGAAGCUGGAGUUACUAGUAAUCGCAGUUCAGAAUGCUGCGGUGAAUGCGUUCCCGGGUCUUGUACACACCGCCCGUCACACCACGGGAGUUGGAGACGCCCGCAGCCGAUUAUCUAACCUUUUGGAAGAAUUCGUCGAAGGUGGAAUCAAUAACUGGGGUGAAGUCGUAACAAGGUAGCCGUAUCGGAAGGUGCGGCUGGAUCACCUCCUUUCUAAGGAGA